AUUGAACGCUGGCGGCAGGCCUAACACAUGCAAGUCGAACGGUAACAGGAAGAAGCUUGCUUCUUUGCUGACGAGUGGCGGACGGGUGAGUAAUGUCUGGGAAACUGCCUGAUGGAGGGGGAUAACUACUGGAAACGGUAGCUAAUACCGCAUAACGUCGCAAGACCAAAGAGGGGGACCUUCGGGCCUCUUGCCAUCGGCUGUGCCCAGAUGGGAUUAGCUAGUAGGUGGGGUAACGGCUCACCUAGGCGACGAUCCCUAGCUGGUCUGAGAGGAUGACCAGCCACACUGGAACUGAGACACGGUCCAGACUCCUACGGGAGGCAGCAGUGGGGAAUAUUGCACAAUGGGCGCAAGCCUGAUGCAGCCAUGCCGCGUGUAUGAAGAAGGCCUUCGGGUUGUAAAGUACUUUCAGCGGGGAGGAAGGGAGUAAAGUUAAUACCUUCGCUCAUUGACGUUACCCGCAGAAGAAGCACCGGCUAACUCCGUG
rnacentral:rRNA from 1 species